CCACGGACCACAGACAGAGCUCAGAGAACUGCAACAACCUCACCAAAUUCACCAGAAGGAGCUGGACGUCGUGAUGACAAUGUGGAACACCGGGAUCCAGCCAGGCACUAAAAGAUACGAUCCCUUCCAUGGAAAACCUUUCCUCUGUAUCAUGUACCAGAACUUUACCGAGCACAGGACGACCUCCAGCCAGUGGACAGAGGGAACAUUGUCUUGGAAGAGGACAUCUGUCUUUGGAAAACUGACUUUGUCUGUGAUCCAGAUCUUCACCAGCUCUGCCUUGUGGUCAUAAAUAAACUGAAUCUUUAGGCAGGUCAUAAUGCUGCUGAGGCAACCAGACUGUACAGACAGCCGGAGACUUAAUGAGAACACAGCUGUCAGUCAGAUUAACCCCCACCUACCAAAACUGUUGCCACAACAGCCAAUAUUAAAAACUUUAGCCUACCGCUUUGAGCACACUUCCAUUUCCAGUGUUUUAUACACCCCUGUUUUCUGAUUUUUUUUCUUUUUUUACAGUGUUAGUUUGUAUGAAACAUAUCAUGGAUGCACUGAAACAAAUAAAUGUGUUCAGUUUUAAUGUGGGA